UGGGGGAUAGCCUUUAGAAAUGAAGAUUAAUACCCCAUGGUAUGUAUUUAUGGCAUCGUAGAUACAUUAAAGGUUACGGCAAGAGAUGAGCAUGCGUCCUAUUAGCUAGUUGGUAUGGUAACGGCAUACCAAGGCGACGAUAGGUAGGGGCCCUGAGAGGGGGAUCCCCCACACUGGUACUGAGACACGGACCAGACUCCUACGGGAGGCAGCAGUGAGGAAUAUUGGACAAUGGAGGCAACUCUGAUCCAGCCAUGCCGCGUGCAGGAAGACUGCCCUAUGGGUUGUAAACUGCUUUUAUACAGGAAGAAACACUCCCACGUGUGGGGGCUUGACGGUACUGUAAGAAUAAGCAUCGGCUAACUCCGUGCCAGCAGCCGCGGUAAUACGGAGGAUGCAAGCGUUAUCCGGAAUCAUUGGGUUUAAAGGGUCCGUAGCGGAUAAUUAAGUCAGUGGUGAAAGUUUUCGGCUCAACCGGAAAAUUGCCAUUGAUACUGCAAGUCUUGAAUCGUUGUGAAGUGGUUAGAAUGUGUAGUGUAGCGGUGAAAUGCAUAGAUAUUACACAGAAUACCGAUUGCGAAGCAGAUCACUAACAAUGUAUUGACGCUAAGGGACGAAAGCGUGGGUAGCGAACAGGAUUAGAUACCCUGGUAGUCCACGCCGUAAACGAUGGUUACUAGCUGUUCGGAUUUCGGUCUGAGUGGCUAAGCGAAAGUGAUAAGUAACCCACCUGGGGAGUACGUUCGCAAGAAUGAAACUCAAAGGAAUUGACGGGGGCCCGCACAAGCGUGGAGCAUGUGGUUUAAUUCGAUGAUACGCGAGGAACCUUACCAGGGCUUAAAUGUAGAUUGACAGGUUUAGAGA
rnacentral:rRNA from 1 species